ensembl:lncRNA
CUCGGUGUAAGUGUAUUUUAUUUGUUUUCGCUCUCUUACAUGUUGGUCUACUUUAGUAUUCGAUCACAAGACAGCCAACUGAUUUCUGGCUUAAAAAACACCUUUUUUUGCCACGUUUACUCCACAGUUAAGCAUUAAGAAUGACUUUGAAGUCAGUGUAACAUUUCACUGCUGCUCAUUACGUUCAGAAAAACUCAGUUUCUUUUAAUAAAAUCAAUGCAAUACAGCUGCUUAUUUAUGGCUGUGACAGAGUCGAUGUGCAUCAUUGCUUUUUGAGGAGCUGACUGUACCGCCAUCUGCUGGUGUUAAAGUGAAGGUGCAGCCUGAGAUGGGCAGCGGUUGAUUUCUCAGGUUGAAGUGGGUGUUUUUUCUGGGGGGGGCUCACAGUCAUUGUAAGUGCGUUUGUCUAUGUGAGAGCGCAGCAAUGCCCAGGCUCAUGUUGAGCCUUACAGCCAUUCCAGCAACACACACAUUUUUCAAAAACUGUAUUUGAUACCAGUAUACUGUCUGUGAACAAUGAUGGUCCAACAACGUACCUGACAAUUACUGCUCAGCAGCAGCAAUAAAGCGCUUUGGGUUUUUUUUUGUUUUGUGUUAUUUGCAUACUGUAUUUAUGUAUAUGCCCCACGGAGACUUGAGAUCUGGAGUUUAAUAUAAUUUUAAUACAUAAAUGAGCCGAGGGACUUGUUGUGUGUCAAGUUGGAUUAAGACCUAGUAAUGAGAACCAUCUCAGAUUCUUCAGUACCCGGGAGGCUCAGUGCAAUUAGACAGAUUUUAUUUUUUAAAAAGUGCAAUUACCCUUUUGUUGAUGUUCUGUUCUGCAAUUAUGUACCGGUGUUUAAAGUCCAGGAUGUCCUCUGGAUAGAAAAUUACUUUCUUUAUAUUGUGUUGUAUUUAUUUUUAACUGAAAACAGCAUAUUUUUGUUCAUUUACACACAAAAAAGACCCUUUCAUUAGUGAAUUUUAUGCAACUUACACUUAAUUUUUCUUCCCAGACACUAAUAGAAGAAAAUUAUUUUCAGCCCUUGUUUUGCAUGUAGUCAUUCAGAUAAUAGAGUUGCUCAAAGCUUCAGUCCUUUUUUAGUUUUUAAAUUGAUUGUGGUGUCUUUUUACUUUCUACCCAUAGGAGCUGGCUCCUUCAAUGAAAUAUGAGAGGAGUUUUGUUCUAGUGUGAUGGCUUUGGAUUGUUUCCUCUCUGAACAUCUUAUCCUCUUUACCGUCUUUGCGUCACUCACCCUUUACGUCCAUAAUCCCACGGAGCAGAACAUCAACUGAGACUCUUCUCAGCCUCACUAUUUUAGGCUGUCUGUUGAUUACCUGGUGACUAAAAUUUGAUCAUGUCUGGGACUAGUGUAACUUGCAUAAAAGCUACAUUUGUUUACUACUGACUGGACUUGAACAUAUAUGACUGUUCCCCUGUCUUAUACCAUUCCGCAAGUCUGUCUGUGAAUUUGCUUUGAAAUAGUAACUGUAAAGAAUUUGGUAAAAUGUACUUUUUUGUUUUUAUGAAAAAUGUUGAUGUGCUUUCAGUUAAUUUCCCACGUUUGAACAAAAUAUGUAGUAAUUAAAAGAACAACCAAAUAAAAAAUUAAGUGACUUUUAAAA